ACGCUCGACACCUACGGGAGGCAGCAGUGGGGAAUAUUGCACAAUGGGGGAAACCCUGAUGCAGCGACGCCGCGUGAAGGAUGAAGUAUUUCGGUAUGUAAACUUCUAUCAGCAGGGAAGAAAGUGACGGUACCUGACUAAGAAGCCCCGGNUAACUACGUACCAGCAGCCGCGGUAAUCUGAGCGGGCUGGCAAGGC
rnacentral:rRNA from 1 species